AGGGUGCUGAGUGACACCAAUUUGCCAAACGAUUCAGCUUUUUGUAACAUUUGCACGUUUUCCCACGACCUGGAUUUGUUUCCAUGCCACGACUGCAGCAGCUGUCCCCACCAUGAAAACAUCUGGAAUUCUGGAGCUUCCUUCCCUGCUAAGAGACUCGUGGUAAGAACAAGGAAGAAUGUCACCUACCCUGUUUAUAUAAUAAUAAAUACAGAGAACAAAUGUGGCCUUCUUGCCGGCAAGAUCUUUGGUGACCCGUGGGUAUGCGGAGUCGAGAACAGCACAUACCCUUCCCUGCAUUGUGACAACCCACAGGACAGAUGACAACACUGAUCGCUCCCUGCAUGCAAC